AUUGGCUUAUGGCGGCCAAGCAUUCAUAGCAACGUUGCUUUUUGAUCCUUCGAUGUCAACUCUUCCCAUCAUUGUAAAGCAGAAUUCACCAAACGCUGGGUUGUUCACUCACUAACAGGGAACGUGAGCUGGGUUUAUACCCUCGUGAGAUAGGUU
rnacentral:ncRNA from 1 species